GAUGAACGCUAGCUACAGGCUUAACACAUGCAAGUCGCGGGGCAGCAUGGGGGUUGCUUGCAAUCCCCGAUGGCGACCGGCGCACGGGUGAGUAACGCGUAUCCAACCUGCCCUUCACCACGGGAUAACCCGGCGAAAGUCGGACUAAUACCGUAUGUUGUCCAUUGACGGCAUCCGAUUUGGACGAAAGGUUUGGCGGUGAAGGAUGGGGAUGCGUCCGAUUAGCUGGACGGCGGGGUGACGGCCCACCGUGGCGACGAUCGGUAGGGGUUCUGAGAGGAAGGUCCCCCACACUGGAACUGAGACACGGUCCAGACUCCUACGGGAGGCAGCAGUGAGGAAUAUUGGUCAAUGGGCGUAAGCCUGAACCAGCCAAGUAGCGUGCAGGAGGACGGCCCUAUGGGUCGUAAACUGCUUUUAUGCGGGGAUAAAGUGGCCCACGUGUGGGUUUUUGCAGGUACCGCAUGAAUAAGGACCGGCUAAUUCCGUG
rnacentral:rRNA from 1 species